AACGAACGCUGGCGGCAUGCCUAACACAUGCCAGUCGAACGAGACCUUCGGGUCUAGUGGCGCACGGGUGCGUAACGCGUGGGAACCUGCCCUUAGGUUCGGAAUAACUCCCCGAAAGGGGUGCUAAUACCGGAUAAUUUCUUCGGACCAAAGAUUUAUCGCCUUUGGAUGGGCCCGCGUUGGAUUAGCUAGUUGGUAGGGUAAAAGCCUACCAAGGCGACGAUCCAUAGCUGGUCUGAGAGGAUGAUCAGCCACACUGGGACUGAGACACGGCCCAGACUCCUACGGGAGGCAGCAGUGGGGAAUAUUGGACAAUGGGCGAAAGCCUGAUCCAGCAAUGCCGCGUGAGUGAUGAAGGCCUUAGGGUUGUAAAGCUCUUUUAACCGGGAUGAUAAUGACAGUACCGGGAGAAUAAGCACCGGCUAACUCCGUG
rnacentral:rRNA from 1 species